GACAGCUGUCACAUCCCCAGUCUGCAUUUGCUCGGCAGGACUCAACUCAGCAGGGCCACAAGUGGAGACAGAUGGUGACAUCCAGAAGACCUGGCUGACAGCAAGGCCCCCAACCCUCCCUCCCUGCAGCCUACCUCCUGAGUAACCCUCCACUCCACAGCUUCUCAAAGCAGCGGGUGUGUGCCGCCCCUUGGUAACGAUCAUCUCUCCCCUUUCUGUUCACUAUUUCAGUUGUUCGGUUGUUUCUUAGCUUGGGAGACCCGCAACGUCAGCAUCCCUGCACUCAACGACAGCAAGUACAUCGGGAUGAGUGUCUACAACGUGGGGAUCAUGUGCAUCAUCGGGGCUGCCGUCUCCUUCCUGACCCGGGACCAGCCCAAUGUGCAGUUCUGCAUCGUGGCUCUGGUCAUCAUCUUCUGCAGCACCAUCACCCUCUGCCUGGUAUUCGUGCCGAAGGCCUCCCUGCAUUGCCAGACGCCAGUUCUUCCCUUGGAGUUCCCUUCCCCCCACCAUCCCUCCAGCCCAGCAGGCCAUGGCACUGUGGUAGGCUGUCCC
rnacentral:sRNA from 1 species